rnacentral:rRNA from 1 species
GACGAACGCUGGCGGCGUGCCUAAUACAUGCAAGUAGGACGCAGUUGCGAACGGGUGAGUAACGCGUAGGUAACUACCUAUUAGAGGGGGAUAACUACUGGAAACGAUAGCUAAUACCGCAUACUAGUAGAUGGACCUGCGUUGUAUUAGCUAGUAGGUAGGGUAAUGGCCUACCUAGGCAACGAUACAUAGCCGACCUGAGAGGGUGAUUGGCCACACUGGGACUGGGACACGGCCCCGACUCCUACGGGGGGCAGCAGUAGGGAAACUUUGGAAAUGGGGGGAACCCUGGCCGAGCAACGCCGCGGGGGUGAAGAAAGUUUUCGGGAUGUAAAGCUAUGUUGUUAAGGAAGCGUUACUUAACCAGAAAGGGACGGCUAACUACGUGCCAGCAGCCGCGGUAAUAC